GUUGAAUGCUGGCGGCAGGCCUAAUACAUGCAAGUCGAACGAGAUUUGUUUUGAGUUUACUUGAAACAUUGAAAGUGGCGGACGAGCGAGUAACACGUACGGAUCUGCCCCGAACUCAGGGAUAACGAGCCGAAAGGUUCGCUAAUACCGGAUAGUCCCGAAAGGGUAAAGAUUUUUCGGUUCGGGAGGAUCGUGCGGCCUAUCAGCUUGUUGGUAAGGUAAUGGCUUACCAAGGCUAUGACGGGUACCUGGCGUGAGAGCAUGACCAGGCGCGAUGGGACCGAGACACGGCCCAUACUCCUACGGGAGGCAGCAGUAGGGAAUCUUCCGCAAUGGACGAAAGUCUGACGGAGCCAUGCCGCGUGAAGGAUGAAGGCCCAUGGGUUGUAAACUUCUUUUAUACGGGAAGAAAAUUUGACGGUACCGUAUGAAUAAGGACCGACUAAUUACGUGCCAGCAGUCGCGGUAAUACGUAAGGUUCAAGCAUUAACCGGAAUUAUUGGGCGUAAAGCGUCCGCAGGCGGUGGUUCAAGUCUGUUAUUAAAUAUCGGAGCUCAACUUCGAUGCUGUAAUGGAAACUGGAUCACUAGAGAAAUGGAGAGGUAUGCGGAAUUCUGCAAGUAGGGGUAAAAUCCGUAGAUAUGCAGAGGAACACCAAAAGCGAAGGCAGCAUACUGGACAUUUUCUGACGCUCAUGGACGAAAGCGUGGGGAGCGAAAGGGAUUAGAUACCCCUGUAGUCCACGCCGUAAACGAUGUGUGCUCGGUGUGAGGAUCCUUGACCUGAUCCUCGUGCCUAAGAUAACUCGAUAAGCACACCGCCUGUGUAGUACGAUCGCAAGAUUAAAACACAAAGGAAUAGACGGGGACCCACACAAGCGGUGGAACGCGGGGUUUAAUUCGUCAGUAAGCGUGUAACCUUACCCAGACUUGACAUCCUGAUCAUAUCUUUUAGAAAUAAUUGAGUCAGUUCGGCUGGAUCAGUGACAGGUGCUGCAUGGUUGUCGUCAGCUCGUGCCUUGAGGUGUACGGUUAAGUCCGCGAACGAGCGCAACCCUCGUCCUGUGUUGUAUUUUCACGGGAGACUGCCCAGCAGAGUGGUUAUUAAUGUUUUUAGAAUUUCUAAGAAUUUAGUAUCUACUCUGCUGGGAGGAAGGCGAGGAUGACGUCAAAUCUGCAUGGCCCUUAUGUCUGGGGCUACACCCACGUUACAAUGGCUGGUACAAAGCGAAGCGAAGGGGUGACCUGGAGCAAAUCGCAUCAAAACCAGUCUUAGUUCGGAUUGGAGUCUGCAACUCGACUCCAUGAAGCUGGAAUCGCUAGUAAACGUAUAUCAGUCACGGUACGUUGAAUAUGUUCCUGGGUCUUGUACUCACCGCCCGUCAAGGCAUGGAAGUUAGGGGCGCCCAAAGUCUGCUUAAAGGGUUGUGGCCUAAGGUGAAUCUGAUAUCUGGGCUUAAGUCGUAAC
rnacentral:rRNA from 1 species